rnacentral:rRNA from 1 species
UACAGAGGGUGCAAGCGUUGUUCGGAAUUACUGGGCGUAAAGCGCGUGUAGGCGGCCCUGCAAGUCGGGUGUGAAAUCCCACGGCUUAACCGUGGAAGUGCACUCGAAACUGCAGGGCUAGAGUCCUGGAGAGGAAGGUGGAAUGCUUGGUGUAGAGGUGAAAUUCGUAGAUAUCAAGCGGAACACCGGUGGCGAAGGCGGCCUCUGGACAGUGACUGACGCUGAGACGCGAAAGCGUGGG